UCGGGAAUUUUGGGCAAUGGGGGAAACCCUGACCCAGCAACGCCGCGUGAAGGAUGAAGUAUUUCGGUAUGUAAACUUCGUAAGAAUAGGAAGAAUAAAUGACGGUACUAUUUGUAAGGUCCGGCUAACUACGUGCCAGCAGCCGCGGUAAUACGUAGGGACCAAGCGUUGUUCGGAUUUACUGGGCGUAAAGGGCGCGUAGGCGGCGUGGUAAGUCAUCUGUGAAAUCUCCGAGCUUAACUCGGAACGGUCAGAUGAUACUGCUGUGCUAGAGUACAGAAAGGGCAAUCGGAAUUCCUGGUGUAGCGGUGAAAUGCGUAGAUAUCAAGAGGAACACCUGAGGCGAAGGCGGGUUGCUGGGCUGACACUGACGCUGAGGCGCGAAAGCCAGGGGAGCAAACGGGAUUAGAUACCCCAGUAGUCCCUGAGCGGGCUGGCAAGGCGCAU
rnacentral:rRNA from 1 species